CAACUUUGUAACUGCGACCAAGAGGGGUGAGGGGGAUGGAGUAAAGGGAUGGAGGAGUGACCAAGAGGGGUGAGGGGUAUGGAAGCAACCAGUUGGAGGAGCAGGAGUGCAGCUCAGGAGAAGAGCAGAGGGCAAAGCCUGCCUCAGUGCUGUUGCCUUGGCACACAAGCUGCUGAUCACAAGAAGGAAUGGCUCGAGUGUCAAGACCAGCUCAGAAAUGAGCUUCCAGUCCACGCUGGACAGGUUGAACACUCCCAAGCUACAGUUCCUCGCUAGGAUGUGGAUGACCACCUCUUGUUCCUGCAGGUGCUGGAGCAAGAGACAGGUGGAGCUCCACUGCAUCUCAACAUCUCUAGGGAUGAUGUGUCCAGGAACUCAUGUAUAAGCCUACAGAGACUGGAAAGAAACUUGAAAAACAAUUCAGCUAAGUUUGACAGUUCAACGGGAGAGUUAAGCACAUGCAAUUGAACAUUUUUAUAAAGUCAUUUUAUUGUUUGAAUAUA